UUCAGCCUAGCCAGGUUAACCUGCAAAGAUUGAAUCAGUUCAGGCUCAGGCUCUUUGAAUGUCUGUCUCUAGCCCAAUUGUUUAAUAAUACCAUAUUGGUUUGUUUGGCAGUUAGUGUUUCUAAGGGAUUUUAUACUUUCAUUGGGGUGGUACUUAACCAUUUCUUUACCAAGGGAUUUGGUAAAUUCACUUGGAGCUUGUCAUUCUAAAAAAUCAAUGUCCUCUAGUUCAGCAGCCAAUUUACUGGGUUUCACACAUGGGUUACUGAUGAAUUUCUGUGCUCUGUUUUUUUGAAACAGGUCUUUUUGAAACAGAUCAUAAGGAUCAUAAGGCCGUAAGUCUGUAUGAGAGGUUUUCCUUCCCCUACAAUCCUGUUCCUUCUCCUGUAUAUUACUGUCAUAGCAUAUAGAGAUUGUAAAAGCCUUUAGCCAGCCUGGGGAUAGUUCCCCCUGACACUCUCAAUGGGGUGUUGUCAGAGAAGGCCCUGAAAAGGUUCCUUUUCAAGUUCUGGUAGAGGAAACACCAAUGGAGCCAUUCUGCCCAGCUCCAGAAUCUGAAAGUUUCUAUGGGCAGAUGCAAAAUCUAGAGUUAGAGCAAGUCAGGGCAGUCCCCAAAGCUGUCUGAAUUACUCAGGGGUUGCUUUGAUCCUUGACCAGCCCAGAACCCCAGAGACACAAAGCUGACCUUUGCUCAGCUCUUCUCAGGCUGCACAUUUGUAUGCUGUGGCACAACAUUGAAAGCUCACUCUGAGACAAUAUUAAUAGGUUAUUUGAUUGUUUAUUUAAGACUCUUUUGUCUCCCAGCUCAAAUACUAGCAGGUGUUCUUUAUGAUAUCUUAUAAAUGACUGUGCCUGAUACAAAGCUGCCAAUACUGGGGAAAGGUACAUUCCAACUUUGUCAGCUUUGCUUUUCACUGUUGCUGCUUUCGUUUUCUAUAACCCUGUGCUUCUUAUCUUGGUCUCGGUUUUAGGCUCUAGCAUCAAGUUAAUAUCAACAGAAUUAGUGCUCAAACAGCUCUGAGUGGUGGACUGAUAUUGGUCACUUCUUCCUUUUCUGUCAUACCAGAGUGAAUAUGCAGGCAAAAGUGGCUUUUGCCACUGUUCAAGCAGUGUUUGUUUUGAGAGCUCUUUGAGAUAGUGUCACUCAACUGCUCCCAGUCUUCCCAUGCAUUCCCAUAACUCCCUGGAGCAAAAUAUUUUUUGCUUCUGGACCAGAAGCUACCUACCAGUUUGUGUAGGCUGGUUUGGUGAUUCAGUCAUUCAGCUGCGGCUUCCACUGUCAGUAACUGUAUUCCUUCAGUGCUGGAACAAAGAUCUGUUUGAUGUUAAUUGAUAAUGAUAAUCAGGGACACACCUUCUCAGCAUAUUUCCAGAUGAGCAAAACCUGAUAGCAUGGCUCAGUGGAAUUCUUCUUUAGAGGCCUGAAGGCACGGUUUCAGGGCCAAAGCCCACAAUACAAACCCAUGGUCUUAUUUGAAUAUAGUAUAUCUCCUAGGCUAGGGACAGACAUUGCACAUAAACCAGUUUAAGUGAUCAGAAACCACUUAAGUGAUCAUCCACCUGGUUUCUCCCUGCUCCCCCCCUUUCCUCACCACUCCCUGUUAAACAGGGAUUAUUCGCCCCUCCCCUCUUCCUUCACAGACACCUCUCAGCAUUAACUAGCAUACCACAUUCUGGUUACUGUUCAUGCUGUGGGAGACCAGACAAAGGCAGACAGGACUGUGUCCACAUAGCUUUUGGGAGCUAACAUCCCUCCUUUCCUUCCUUGGAAAAAGUUGUUUAAGAAGAGCUUUAACUAAUGGGGAGAAGCUUUUGUUUUUUUUGUCUUCUUAAUGGGCUGAUAAACACUGAGUUACGGGUGAUAAACUCUGUGUUAUCAACUGCCUGAUGGGCUGCUCAGGAGUUGGAAAAAAUGUUCUUUGCAAGCUUUUGGGCACAAUCACCCUUCUUCAGGCAUGAAGGACAGAGACACAUAAACACCAAUAAAAACAUGUUUUUCAUAGCACAACCACUUCCUUUCUGACCUCACUAUGUCAGUUUACUGAAGCACUAAGAGCCAUGAGCUAUUUCCCCAGAAGUUUUCAUGCAGCACAUAAGUAGGUAGGGCAUCGAUGCAGACACAACAUUCCAGUGAUAUCUGGGUAUUAUUUUCCAUUGGGGAAAUUCUCAAUCAUUACAAUAAUGGUCUGUUUGAUGAUUCAGUUAUAAUGGUUUAUUAGCAUUGUCUUUUAUCUCUGUAUGUACCCCACACUUGAGUUAACUCUGCAGUGAAGACAUGGUAUAUACAUUGUGCACACAUUUUUAAUAAACAUGUCAUCACAUUUUACAAUAUAGCGUAACUGAGACAGAAGUACCGUUCUUGCUUGUUGAAUGUUGAUGCAGGGACUUUAGCACUGUGACCUGAGUCAUUUCCUAUUAAAUAAAGAGAGAUUACCUUGAAAUUUGAACUAAGAGUUCUGCUUAUCAGAAGCAAAUGACACAUUUGUUUUCUGGCCUUAUGAUAAAAAUGAACUUCUUUAGAUUGUUCACUAAAUCUUGUAUACAUGUUAUUUUGUACAGGGAUAUAAAGUAUUUGCCUUAGUCUUAUUGAAAGAUUUACAGUAGAAGUUGCUUAUACUGGUAGUGAACUUAGUUGCAAUGACAUUCUGGCUAUAACAAAAUGGAGCUGACUUGCAUAUUUCAAUGGAUUUUCAUUAUUAGCACUAGAGAAAAAUUCAUUCUGCUGUAAGUUCCAGCAGAGCUGUAAUUUGGAAUUCCACCGUUAUUUCCUCCCAGGUGGGUGCCAAGUGGUUCUUAUAAAGAAAACACUACCUCUUCUUCAUCAGCCCAAUCUAGACUACAAGGUUUUGUCAGUAAAAUUUGGUGUGUGUCUGCACUCAAACCCUUUUCUGCUGGCAGUUAUUCCUCCUCUGUUGAAUGGAGUAAGGUCUCUGCUAUUCAGAAGGUGCAUGUCACCUGAAACCUCAACCAGCUGCUAUGCUCCAUUCAGCAGCUGGUACCUCUCAGGGUGUACUUCACGUUCUGGGGGCUAGUAACUGAGUGGAACUGUGCGGAGGUGCUCCAAGUGCACAGAUGUGCACUUGCUCUGUUAGUUUGGUGAUAACAACUGUCCUCUAUCUUGAGAUAGCAGCAGAAGCAGCUGAGUGUAGACAAGGCCUCCUGCUUUGUCUGGGUAAGCAAAGGAUGAAAUGGUGAGAAUUUGCCUCUGCACAGAUGAAAUUCUGACUCCUUUUCCUCCUGGAUUCAUACCUAGUAAAGAGUAAAAAGAAGCUAGUUCCUGCUACCAUUUCUUUCAGUUGAAGUGAAGAUGUGACUGCCUUACCUCCCACUGAGAGCUGCCACCUGUAAUUAGCCUUAUGAGUUAAGGCAAAGUAAUGGCCUCUUCCUGCUCUAGUGUUUACAGUGGGUGGGGCAAAACCAAGUUCACUGAGUUUUCGGUGUAGAUUAGAGGCAAUAUAAAUACAAAUAUAACCAAAAAAAAAUCCAGAAUUUCUUAUCUUAAUGCAGUAAAAACGAACUUGUUGCUCUUGCUAGGUGCAGCAUUCUUGGUCCUCGGUACUCAGUGUCCUGGUUUCAGAUUAUGAUCAGCUUGGGAUAUUUUCUGGGUAUUUUUGCGUGUGUUCUAGCUGUGACGACUAAGUGAUUUAGACAACUCAAUCUCAUUUUUAAAAGGAAGGAAGGAAUUUAGGAGCCUAAGACUUAGUAAAAGUCAAUGGGAUAUGGGUUCCUAAAUUCUUAGGUCACUUCUAAAAAAUGGGGCUUUUAUAAAUCAGGGGUGUCAAACAAAUGGCCAGUGGGCAUCCUGCCCACAAGGUUUUCUGAGGUGCAGAAGACCCACCUCCAUAUCCAGCCUGCAAAGCUGGACAUUUGGCAGUACCAACUCUCACCGUUGCCAGAUCCACUGUAGUAAUGGAGCCAGCACCUGGCAGGAUCUAACACCACCACCACUGUCCCCAUCAUUGCUUUUUUAGAUUGAUUUCUCCAUUGAGGAUGCAAUUUUGCCACAGUAGGGCAAGGGACAACACUGUUAAUCCCUGCGGCUGCUAGAGUCACUAUGGGCACGUCUACACGAAAAGCCUUAAUGCACAGUGGACUGCAAAAACCAUGCUAAGGCACUAACGCACAGUAGAUUAGUCUACUGCACAUUAAGCAUCACAAAAAAAGUUUGCCUUUCUUACUGCACAUUACCAUAGCUACUGUGCCUUUAAUACUUCAUAUUAGAGGUACUAAACUUCAUAUUAGAGGUACUGCUACUAGCAGUAGCAAAGGCACAUCAAUGAACGUGUAGAUGUGCCCACUGUCAGAAAAGCCAGCACUCAGGGGUUACCACCCCAAUGUCUUCCCCCACUGCCAGAGGUGGGUCAUCCAGCACACAAGGAGCCCUGCAGUCUGAAUCUGGCCUGUGAGGCCAAGUGAGUUUGACAACCCUGGUUUAAGUCAUGUAGGCCCUGUAGUGCUAGGCAGAAUGUUGCCUAAAUAUCUCUCAAAUUGUAGGUCUAAAUAUCCUGGCAUCAGCCUCUACUAAGAAAAAUGCUAUGAUGCCCUUAUCACUUUGUAUAAGUACUACUAGUCAUGCUGACAGGCAACUCUAUGUUGCAAGCAUUGGUAUUGUUUCUUAUUUGUAUUGCAGUACCAAUGGAGGACACUAAUCGAGAAACAGGUGCUCGUUGUACUAGUCACUACACAGACAUUCAGUAGAAAAACAGUUCAUGCCUCUAAGAACUCACAGGCUAGGUAAUAAUAAGACACAGGGACUAGGUGAGAGAAAGAAAGAGGAAGAAGAGGGCGAAGAGAAAAUAGCAUGAAAGCAAACAAGAGAUUUCAUCUCCUCUCCCACAUCUCUGUUGCCCGCUGGCAGCGCAUUGUGUGUACUUUGCAGAGGGAUACACACUUUUCCUAACAGGAAGAUGCCCGCCAUGAAACAAGGCAGAAAAAGAUAUUUAUCGACUCCAAAAAUGACUGAAAAAAUAUGGGGCUCCACCAUCCCCUGCAUCCCAGCCUCACGCCACCUGAGACCCAAUAUUCCUUUCAGGGUGUUAAAGAAAAGAAAAUAAUCCACACAAAAAUAAACAAACAAAAAUAAAGUCCAUCUUUACUGCUA